AUUGGUGGCAAUGGGGGAAGGCCUGACGCAGCAACGCCCCGUGGGGAUGAAGGCCUUUGGUCGUAAAGCCCUGUCCGGAGGAAAGAAUCCCAUCGGGGUGAAUACCCCCCUGGAUGACGGUACCUUGCAGGAAGCACCGGCUAACUCCGUCCAGCAGCCGCGGUAAUACGGAGGGUGCAAGCGUUGUUCGGAAUCACUGGGCGUAAAGCGCACGUAGGCGGCCGACCGUGUCAAGUGGGAAAGCCCUCGGCUCAACCGAGGAAGUGCACUCGAAACUGGUUGGCUUGAGUCCGGUAGAGGAGGGGGAAUUCCGGGUGUAGAGGUGAAAUUCGUAGAUAUCCGGAGGAACACCAGUGGCGAAGGCGACCCUCUGGGCCGGUACUGACGCUGAGGUGGAAAGCGUGCGGAGCAAACAGGAUUGGAUACCUUGGUAGUUCACCCGUA
rnacentral:rRNA from 1 species